rnacentral:rRNA from 1 species
GACGAACCGUGCAAACGUUAUUCGGAAUCACUGGGCUUAAAGGGUGCGUAGGCGGGCUCGUUAGUCAGGGGUGAAAUCCCACGGCCCAACCGUGGAAGUGCCUCUGAUACUGCGAGCCUCGAGGGGGAUAGGGGCGUGCGGAACUCAGGGUGGAGCGGUGAAAUGCGUAGAUAUCCUGAGGAACACCGGUGGCGAAAGCGGCGCGCUGGAUCCCUUCUGACGCUGAGGCACGAAAGCCAGGGGAGCAAACGGG